CCUACGGGGGGCAGCAGUGGGGAAUAUUGCACAAUGGGGGAAACCCUGAUGCAGCGAAGCCGCGUGAGUGAAGAAGUAAUUCGUUAUGUAAAGCUCUAUCAGCAGGGAAGAAAAUGACGGUACCUGAGUAAGAAGCCCCGGCUAACUACGUGCCAGCAGCCGCGGUAAUACGUAGGGGGCAAGCGUUAUCCGGCUGUACUGGGAGUAAAGGGAGCGUAGACGGCAGUGCAAGUCUGGAGUGAAAGGCGGGGGCGCAACCCCCGGACUGCUCUGGAAACUGUACGGCUGGAGUGCAGGAGAGGUAAGUGGAAUUCCUAGUGUAGCGGUGAAAUGCGUAGAUAUUAGGAGGAACACCAGUGGCGAAGGCGGCUUACUGGACUGUAACUGACGUUGAGGCUCGAAAGCGUGGGGAGCAAACAGGAUUAGAUACCCGGGUAGUC
rnacentral:rRNA from 1 species